GCUGGGCAUGUGGUGGCAUGUGCCUGUAGUCCCAGCUACUUGGAGGCUGAGGCAGGAAGAUUGCUUGAGCCCAGGAGUUUGAGGCCAUAGUGCACUGUGAUUGUGCCUGUGAGUGGUCACUGCACUCCAGCCUGGGCAAUAUAGUGAGACCCUACCUCUA
ensembl:misc_RNA Metazoa_SRP Metazoan signal recognition particle RNA